rnacentral:pre_miRNA from 1 species
AGCCCAGUGGAACAUCUCUGCUCCGGCUAGAUUACGGACACCAGUGUGCAGGAACGCUUCGCUACAUU